rnacentral:lncRNA from 1 species
UUUCAGACAGCAAAGUUCCCAAGGAGAUUCCAAACCUUCUCCUUGGUGGAGGGCAGGACUUCGCUAUUAAUUAGUAUGUGUGGUCAGGUGGUGGGGUGGGCAUGGAGGAGGGGCUCUGGGGAGGGGAUGGCAGGAGAUGUGGACAGGGACAGGACACACGGGCACAGUGUGGCCGUGCUGUGGCAUCCGGCUCAUACAGGACACUGUCACACAAAGGGAAACUGAAAUCCAGAGCUGAAAUCCCCAGAAGGAGUCAGAGAUGGGGUCAGCCCCUGCAGCAGUGCUGACCCAGAGGGACGGGCAGGCACCGGCUGUGCCACUGCCACGGUGACCCACGGCCGCAUCCCCUCCGAAUUGCAUCCUCUGCUUUCAUGGGGUAAAGGCUCUCCUGGUGUAAGUGAGAGCUGCUCCAGAAAUGUGCACGAGGGGAGAGCACAGCAGGAACACCACCGUCUGAUGGAAGAGAUGAAGACGCUGCAGUGCAAGCUUCGGUUUGUACUUCUGUUCAGUUAAUGUUGAGGAACAGCACGCAAUUCAAC